CCCUAGUAACUGCGAGUGAAGCGGGAAAAGCUCAAAUUUAAAAUCUGGUGGUCUUUGGCCAUCCGAGUUGUAAUCUAGAGAAGUGUUAUCCGCGCUGGACCGUGUACAAGUCUCCUGGAAUGGAGCGUCAUAGAGGGUGAGAAUCCCGUCUUUGACACGGACUGCCAGGGCUUUGUGAUGCGCUCUCAAAGAGUCGAGUUGUUUGGGAAUGCAGCUCAAAAUGGGUGGUAAAUUCCAUCUAAAGCUAAAUAUUGGCGAGAGACCGAUAGCGAACAAGUACCGUGAGGGAAAGAUGAAAAGAACUUUGGAAAGAGAGUUAAACAGUACGUGAAAUUGCUGAAAGGGAAACGCUUGAAGUCAGUCGCGUUGGCCGGGGAUCAACCUUGCUUUUGCUGGGCGUACUUUCCGGUUGAUGGGUCAGCAUCAAUUUUGACCGUUGGAUAAAGUUCAGGGGAAUGUGGCAUCUUCGGAUGUGUUAUAGCCUUUGGUCGCAUACAACGGUUGGGAUUGAGGAACUCAGCACGCCGCAAGGCCGGGUAUUUAUACCACGUUCGUGCUUAGGAUGCUGGCAUAAUGGCUUUAAUCGACCCGUCUUGAAACACGGACCAAGGAGUCUAACAUGCCUGCGAGUGUUUGGGUGGAAAACCCGAGCGCGUAAUGAAAGUGAAAGUUGAGAUCCCUGUCGUGGGGAGCAUCGACGCCCGGACCAGACCUUUUGUGACGGAUCCGCGGUAGAGCAUGUAUGUUGGGACCC
rnacentral:rRNA from 1 species